UUAAGCGACUAAGCGUACACGGUGGAUGCCCUGGCAGUCAGAGGCGAUGAAGGACGUGCUAAUCUGCGAUAAGCGUCGGUAAGGUGAUAUGAACCGUUAUAACCGGCGAUUUCCGAAUGGGGAAACCCAGUGUGUUUCGACACACUAUCAUUAACUGAAUCCAUAGGUUAAUGAGGCGAACCGGGGGAACUGAAACAUCUAAGUACCCCGAGGAAAAGAAAUCAACCGAGAUUCCCCCAGUAGCGGCGAGCGAACGGGGAGCAGCCCAGAGCCUGAAUCAGUGUGUGUGUUAGUGGAAGCGUCUGGAAAGGCGCGCGAUACAGGGUGACAGCCCCGUACACAAAAAUGCACAUGCUGUGAGCUCGAUGAGUAGGGCGGGACACGUGGUAUCCUGUCUGAAUAUGGGGGGACCAUCCUCCAAGGCUAAAUACUCCUGACUGACCGAUAGUGAACCAGUACCGUGAGGGAAAGGCGAAAAGAACCCCGGCGAGGGGAGUGAAAAAGAACCUGAAACCGUGUACGUACAAGCAGUGGGAGCACGCUUAGGCGUGUGACUGCGUACCUUUUGUAUAAUGGGUCAGCGACUUAUAUUCUGUAGCAAGGUUAACCGAAUAGGGGAGCCGAAGGGAAACCGAGUCUUAACUGGGCGUUAAGUUGCAGGGUAUAGACCCGAAACCCGGUGAUCUAGCCAUGGGCAGGUUGAAGGUUGGGUAACACUAACUGGAGGACCGAACCGACUAAUGUUGAAAAAUUAGCGGAUGACUUGUGGCUGGGGGUGAAAGGCCAAUCAAACCGGGAGAUAGCUGGUUCUCCCCGAAAGCUAUUUAGGUAGCGCCUCGUGAAUUCAUCUCCGGGGGUAGAGCACUGUUUCGGCAAGGGGGUCAUCCCGACUUACCAACCCGAUGCAAACUGCGAAUACCGGAGAAUGUUAUCACGGGAGACACACGGCGGGUGCUAACGUCCGUCGUGAAGAGGGAAACAACCCAGACCGCCAGCUAAGGUCCCAAAGUCAUGGUUAAGUGGGAAACGAUGUGGGAAGGCCCAGACAGCCAGGAUGUUGGCUUAGAAGCAGCCAUCAUUUAAAGAAAGCGUAAUAGCUCACUGGUCGAGUCGGCCUGCGCGGAAGAUGUAACGGGGCUAAACCAUGCACCGAAGCUGCGGCAGCGACGCUGAUGCGUUGUUGGGUAGGGGAGCGUUCUGUAAGCCUGCGAAGGUGUGCUGUGAGGCAUGCUGGAGGUAUCAGAAGUGCGAAUGCUGACAUAAGUAACGAUAAAGCGGGUGAAAAGCCCGCUCGCCGGAAGACCAAGGGUUCCUGUCCAACGUUAAUCGGGGCAGGGUGAGUCGACCCCUAAGGCGAGGCCGAAAGGCGUAGUCGAUGGGAAACAGGUUAAUAUUCCUGUACUUGGUGUUACUGCGAAGGGGGGACGGAGAAGGCUAUGUUGGCCGGGCGACGGUUGUCCCGGUUUAAGCGUGUAGGCUGGUUUUCCAGGCAAAUCCGGAAAAUCAAGGCUGAGGCGUGAUGACGAGGCACUACGGUGCUGAAGCAACAAAUGCCCUGCUUCCAGGAAAAGCCUCUAAGCAUCAGGUAACAUCAAAUCGUACCCCAAACCGACACAGGUGGUCAGGUAGAGAAUACCAAGGCGCUUGAGAGAACUCGGGUGAAGGAACUAGGCAAAAUGGUGCCGUAACUUCGGGAGAAGGCACGCUGAUAUGUAGGUGAGGUCCCUCGCGGAUGGAGCUGAAAUCAGUCGAAGAUACCAGCUGGCUGCAACUGUUUAUUAAAAACACAGCACUGUGCAAACACGAAAGUGGACGUAUACGGUGUGACGCCUGCCCGGUGCCGGAAGGUUAAUUGAUGGGGUUAGCCGCAAGGCGAAGCUCUUGAUCGAAGCCCCGGUAAACGGCGGCCGUAACUAUAACGGUCCUAAGGUAGCGAAAUUCCUUGUCGGGUAAGUUCCGACCUGCACGAAUGGCGUAAUGAUGGCCAGGCUGUCUCCACCCGAGACUCAGUGAAAUUGAACUCGCUGUGAAGAUGCAGUGUACCCGCGGCAAGACGGAAAGACCCCGUGAACCUUUACUAUAGCUUGACACUGAACAUUGAGCCUUGAUGUGUAGGAUAGGUGGGAGGCUUAGAAGUGUGGACGCCAGUCUGCAUGGAGCCGACCUUGAAAUACCACCCUUUAAUGUUUGAUGUUCUAACGUUGACCCGUAAUCCGGGUUGCGGACAGUGUCUGGUGGGUAGUUUGACUGGGGCGGUCUCCUCCUAAAGAGUAACGGAGGAGCACGAAGGUUGGCUAAUCCUGGUCGGACAUCAGGAGGUUAGUGCAAUGGCAUAAGCCAGCUUGACUGCGAGCGUGACGGCGCGAGCAGGUGCGAAAGCAGGUCAUAGUGAUCCGGUGGUUCUGAAUGGAAGGGCCAUCGCUCAACGGAUAAAAGGUACUCCGGGGAUAACAGGCUGAUACCGCCCAAGAGUUCAUAUCGACGGCGGUGUUUGGCACCUCGAUGUCGGCUCAUCACAUCCUGGGGCUGAAGUAGGUCCCAAGGGUAUGGCUGUUCGCCAUUUAAAGUGGUACGCGAGCUGGGUUUAGAACGUCGUGAGACAGUUCGGUCCCUAUCUGCCGUGGGCGCUGGAGAACUGAGGGGGGCUGCUCCUAGUACGAGAGGACCGGAGUGGACGCAUCACUGGUGUUCGGGUUGUCAUGCCAAUGGCACUGCCCGGUAGCUAAAUGCGGAAGAGAUAAGUGCUGAAAGCAUCUAAGCACGAAACUUGCCCCGAGAUGAGUUCUCCCUGACCCUUUAAGGGUCCUGAAGGAACGUUGAAGACGACGACGUUGAUAGGCCGGGUGUGUAAGCGCAGCGAUGCGUUGAGCUAACCGGUACUAAUGAACCGUGAGGCUUAACCUU
rnacentral:rRNA from 1 species